CGAAAUCCGGUCGUAGGGGCGCUGUAAUACGUAGUUAGCAAGGGUUAACCGGAAGGAAUGUGGGUAAAGGGCAACUAGGCGGUAAAUCAAGACAAAGGUGAAAACUUGUGGCUCAACCAUAAGCUUGCCUACGAAACUGAUUAACUAGAGUACUGGAGAGGUGGACGGAACUACACGAGUAGAGGUGAAAUUCGUAGAUAUGUGUAGGAAUGCCGAUGAUGAAGAUAGUUCACUGGACAGAAACUGACGCUGAAGUGCGAAAGCUAGGGGAGCAAACAGGAUUCGAUACCCCGGUAGUC
rnacentral:rRNA from 1 species